rnacentral:pre_miRNA from 1 species
AAUGACACGAUCACUCCCGUUGAGCCGAAACACACAGUGCCAUCGGGAAUAUCGUGUCGCUCC